AGCGAACGCUGGCGGCAGGCCUAACACUUGCAAGUCGAACGGCCGUAGCAAUACGGCAGUGGCAGACGGGUGAGUAACACGUGGGAACGUACCCUUCGGUUCGGAAUAACCCGGGGAAACUCGGGCUAAUACCGGAUACGUCCGUAAGGAGAAAGAUUUAUCGCCGAAGGAUCGGCCCGCGUCGGAUUAGCUAGUUGGUGAGGUAAUGGCUCACCAAGGCAUGAUCCGUAGCUGGUCUGAGAGGACGAUCAGCCACACUGGGACUGAGACACGGCCCAGACUCCUACGGGAGGCAGCAGUGGGGAAUAUUGGACAAUGGGCGCAAGCCUGAUCCAGCCAUGCCGCGUGAGUGAUGAAGGCCUUAGGGUUGUAAAGCUCUUUUACCAGGGAAGAUAAUGACGGUACCUGGAGAAUAAGCCCCGGCUAACUUCGUGCCAGCAGCCGCGGUAAUACGAAGGGGCUAGCGUUGCUCGGAAUCACUGGGCGUAAAGCGCACGUAGGUGGAUUCUUAAGUCAGGGGUGAAACUCCUGGAGCUCAACUCCAGAACUGCCUUUGAUACUGGGAAUCUUCGAGUCCGGGAGAGGUGGGUGGAACUGCGAGUGUAGAGGUGAAAUUCGUAGAUAUUCGCAAGAACACCAGUGGCGAAGGCGGCUCACUGGCCCGGUACCUGACACUGAGGUGCGAAAAGCGUGGGGGAGCAAA
rnacentral:rRNA from 1 species